UGGUAAGCAUAGCGUUUUGGACCCACCUGACUCCAUGCCGAACUCAGAAGUGAAACAAAACAGCGCCGAUGAUAGUGUGGGAUUUCCCAUGUGAAAGUAGGACAUUGCCAAGCA
rnacentral:rRNA from 1 species